rnacentral:rRNA from 1 species
UGGGGAAUAUUGGACAAUGGGCGCAAGCCUGAUCCAGCCAUGCCGCGUGUGUGAAGAAGGCCUUAUGGUUGUAAAGCACUUUAAGCGAGGAGGAGGCUACUUUAGUUAAUACCUAGAGAUAGUGGACGUUACUCGCAGAAUAAGCACCGGCUAACUCUGUGCCAGCAGCCGCGGUAAUACAGAGGGUGCAAGCGUUAAUCGGAUUUACUGGGCGUAAAGCGCGCGUAGGCGGCUAAUUAAGUCAAAUGUGAAAUCCCCGAGCUUAACUUGGGAAUUGCAUUCGAUACUGGUUAGCUAGAGUGUGGGAGAGGAUGGUAGAAUUCCAAGUGUAGCGGUGAAAUGCGUAGAGAUCUGGAGGAAUACCGAUGGCGGAGGCAGCCAUCUGGCCUAACACAGACGCUGAGGUGCGAAAGAAUGGGGAGCAAACAGG